UCUAUUAGAAUUCUUUGAGGGGGUCAACAAACAUGUGAACAAGGGGGAUCCAGUGGAUAUAGUAUAUUUAGAUUUUCAGAAAGCCUUUGACAAGGUCCCUCACC